CCUCACUCACUGAUCUCGUCAUGGUGAUGUCCGUCGGAGUGUAAACCCCUUUUGAUUGGGAAGAAUAACUGACGGUACCAAUCGAAUAAGCCUCGGCUAACUCCGUGCCAGCAGCCGCGGUAAUACGGAGGAGGCAAGCGUUAUCCGGAAUUAUUGGGCGUAAAGCGUCCGUAGGUGGUUUAGUAAGUCUGCUGUUAAAGCGCGGGGCUUAACCCUGUAUCGGCAGUGGAAACUACUAGACUAGAGUGUGGUAGGGGUAGAGGGAAUUCCCAGUGUAGCGGUGAAAUGCGUAGAUAUUGGGAAGAACACCGGUGGCGAAGGCGCUCUACUGGGCCAUAACUGACACUGAUGGACGAAAGCUAGGGGAGCGAAAGGGAUUAGAUACCCCUGUAGUCAA
rnacentral:rRNA from 1 species